rnacentral:rRNA from 1 species
GUGGGGAAUAUUGCGCAAUGGGCGAAAGCCUGACGCAGCGACGCCGCGUGGAGGAUGAAGGUCUUAGGAUUGUAAACUCCUGUCAGAUGGGAAGAAAAGUUUAUGUCUAAUAAAUGUAAAAUAUGACGGUACCAUCAGAGGAAGCACCGGCUAACUUCGUGCCAGCAGCCGCGGUAAUACGAAGGGUGCAAACGUUAUUCGGAAUCACUGGGCGUAAAGGGUGCGUAGAUGGUGUGUUAAGUUUGUUGUUAAAGGCUCUGGCCUAACCGGAGUAUUGCAAUGAAAACUGGCACGCUAGAGGGUGAGAGAGAGAAGUGGAAUUCCCGGAGUAGCGGUAAAAUGCGUGGAUCUCGGGAGGAACACCAAUGGCGAAGGCAGCUUCUUGGCUCAUUCCUGACAUUGAGGCACGAAAGCGUGGGGAGCAAACAGGAUUAGAUACCCUUGUAGUCC